rnacentral:rRNA from 1 species
UACGUAGGAUGCAAGCGUUGUCCGGAAUUAUUGGGCGUAAAGAGCGCGCAGGCGGUUUUACAAGUCAGAUGUGAAAUAUCCGGGCUUAACCCGGAGGGGUCAUUUGAAACUGUGAGACUAGAGUACAGCAGAGGAUAGCGGAAUUCCCGGUGUAGUGGUGAAAUGCGUAGAUAUCGGGAGGAACACCGGUGGCGAAGGCGGUUCUCUGGGCCUUACCUGACACUGAGGAGCGAAAGCGUGGGGAGCGAACAGG